GUCUACGACCAUACCAUGCUGAACAUACCGGUUCUCGUCCGAUCACCGAAGUCAAGAAACAUAGGGCCUGGUCAGUAAUUGGAUGGGAGACCUCCUUUGAAUACCGGGUAAUGUAGGCA
rnacentral:rRNA from 1 species